UCUUCUCUCCCUCCUCGCAAUCCUCUCCUCCUUGCCUCCAUCCUCUUCUCUCUCUGCCUCUCUCCUAUUCCUCUCCCUCAUCUCUCUCCCAUCUCUCCCUCUCGUCCCAUUCUCUCGCUCUCUCGUCUCCUAUUCUCUCUCUCUCCCUUCUCUCCCUCAUCUCCCUCUCUCCCAUCUCUCUCCUCCCCUCCUCCCCAUUCUCUCCUCUCCCUAUUCUCACUCCCUCGACUGUGCCACAGGUAUGUGCGAGGCAGGGCGGUCUGGGGUUUGACUCUGAGCGGCAGGAGCUCUACUCAGCCGUCACGUCCUACGCAAACACCAACGCGCAAACGUAAGAUCUCUGAAGACACGCCCCCGAAGAGGACCGUGAACCCUAACCCGCCGCGCAGCGGCACACAGCCCCCAGGAGAGGAGGGUGAACCAUGGGCUGGACCAGGGGGAUAGAGCCAGAACCACAGACUCAGAGACACCUAAUGAUGAAAAGACUACAGUUCCCAUGACUACUGCCGCAGAUCGGCCCUCCUCCCGACCCAAGAAGAAGAAAGCUAAGGGGCUUUUUGGAUGACCUCGGAACCUGUAGGGCACCAAACACUAUGGAGAGAGUCUGUGACUACGUCCCAAAUAACACGGUCAAAAGUAGUGCACUACUAUGUAGGGGAUGGGGUGUCGUUUGGGAUGCCAUCUAUGAGCACUACCACCUUACUUCAUGUGACAUGUUUUUCAAGUACUCAUCUACGGAGAUGUCCUUUUUUUUAAACAUUUUUUAAAAAUUAAAUCAUUAGAUAUGCAUGUUUUUCCUUGGCUGUUUCAUUGUUUGAUGGAUGUGUAUUUUUUUAAAUUGUCUAAAUAAAUAAAGUGUGUCAAUUUAGGGCGUCUUAUCAAUAUAAGCGUUAGAUGUGGAUCAAUGACUGUGUUCUCUUUACAUCUGCAUUUUUGGAACAUCAUGAAUUACUCGUUUCAACUUCUGGGCAGAAUGGAGUUGUACAUUACUGCCAUUACAGGACCACGCUCUAGUACCAGCCUGGGUCUAGUCCAACCACAGGGCUAGUUGAUGCUCCAGGCGCCUUAUCCUUAUUGGAUGGUUAGCAGUGUGUUGGCAAUUCAUUCUUAUUUCUUUCGAGAGAGAAUGAGAUAUUGACUCAAGGUGUUGUAGAAUGCUUGGAAUGCUAUUGAAGUCCUGUUCAAUCAUUGGUCGAGGACUUGGCUUGUUUUGAAAAGUCAACGCCGUUAGAACACUGUCAUAGCUCAGUCAGAAUGCAUAUUUAUCCCAAUUUUAAUAAGGUGUCAGUCGCUCUACAGAGGAGACACUAAAUGUUUGAAAUGCC
rnacentral:lncRNA from 1 species